rnacentral:tRNA from 1 species
GGGGUUGUGGCUUAGUGGUAGAGUGUUCACCUAACACGUGCGAGGCGCUGGGUUCAAUCCUCAGCACCACA